rnacentral:rRNA from 1 species
CCUACGGGUGGCAGCAGUCGAGAAUCAUUCACAAUGGGGGAAACCCUGAUGGUGCGACGCCGCGUGGGGGAAUGAAGGUCUUCGGAUUGUAAAACCCUGUCAUGUGGGAGCAAAUUAAAAAGAUAGUAACACAAGAGGAAGAGACGGCUAACUCUGUGCCAGCAGCCGCGGUAAUACAGAGGUCUCAAGCGUUGUUCGGAAGCACUGGGCGGAAAGCGUGCGUAGGCUGUUUCGUAAGGCGUGUGUGAAAGGCGCGGGCUCAACCCGCGGACGGCACAUGAUAGUGCGAGACUAGAGUAAUGGAGGGGGAACCGGAAUUCUCGGUGUAGCAGUGAAAUGCGUAGAUAUCGAGAGGAACACUCGUGGCGAAGGCGGGUUCCUGGACAUUAACUGACGCUGAGGCACGAAGGCCAGGGGAGCGAAAGGGAUUAGAUACCCUGGUAGUC